CAAAACAAAGUGUAUGGAACAAUUAAAUACAAGCCAAAAGUAGAAAACAACGGCGAGAAGAACAAAAAGAAGAGAAGAACACAAAAGAAUUUGUUGACCCAGUUCGGUCCAAAUUGACCUAGUCUGGGGGAGAGAGCAGCCCUCCGAUCCACUAUAUGAUGAGUAUCGUUACAAAGAGAAAUCAAUGGGUUACAAGAAUAAGUCUCCCGCCUAAUUCUACCCAAAGUCUCAGCCUCUUCCCGUAACCAAGAGACUCAAUCCUAAUAGUGUUUCCCAAGGUGAAUCAACCCACAAACCCUAGUGUUUGUUCCGAAGAGACAAACUCUAU
rnacentral:lncRNA from 1 species